GAUGAAGAACGUAGCGAAAUGCGAUAAGUAAUGCGAAUUGCAGAAUUCAGUGAGUCAUCGAAUCUUUGAACGCACAUUGCGCCCCCUGGUAUUCCGGGGGGCAUGCCUGUCCGAGCGUCAUUACAACCCUCAAGCUCAGCUUGGUAUUGGGCCCCGCCGACCCGGCGGGCCCUAAAGUCAGUGGCGGUGCCGUCCGGCUCCGAGCGUAGUAAUUCUUCUCGCUCUGGAGGUCCGGUCGUGUGCUCGCCAGCAACCCCCAAUUUUUUUCAGGUUGACCUCGGAUCAGGUAGGGAUACCCGCUGAACUUAAGCAUAUCAAUAAGCGGAGGA
rnacentral:misc_RNA from 1 species